AACGAACGCUGGCGGCGUGCCUAAUACAUGCAAGUCGAGCGAGAAAGUCUUCGGAUGAGUACAGCGGCGCACGGGUGAGUAACGCGUAGGUAACCUGCCUUGAAGUGGGGAAUAACAUCGGGAAACCGGUGCUAAUACCGCAUAUGAAGGUGACUUCAAAGAGGGGUAGCAAUACCUCUUGCUUUAAGAUGGGCCUGCGUGACAUUAGGUAGUUGGUGGGGUAACGGCCUACCAAGCCGAUGAUGUCUAUCCGGUCUGAGAGGACGACUGGACACACUGGAACUGAGACACGGUCCAGACUCCUACGGGAGGCAGCAGUAGGGAAUAUUGCGCAAUGGGGGAAACCCUGACGCAGCAACGCCGCGUGAGUGAAGAAGGUCUUCGGAUUGUAAAGCACUUUAAGUUGGGAGGAAGGGCAGCUAGUUAAUACCUGGUUGUUUUGACGUUACCAACAGAAUAAGCACCGGCUAACUUCGUGCCAGCAGCCGCCGUAAUAC
rnacentral:rRNA from 1 species